CCUACGGGAGGCAGCAGUGAGGAAUAUUGGACAAUGGGCGCAAGCCUGAUCCAGCCAUGCCGCGUGCAGGAAGACGCAUCUAUGGUGUGUAAACUGCUUUUGUACGGGAAGAAACACUCCCUCGUGAGGGAGCUUGACGGUACCGUAAGAAUAAGGAUCGGCUAACUCCGUGCCAGCAGCCGCGGUAAUACGGAGGAUCCAAGCGUUAUCCGGAAUCAUUGGGUUUAAAGGGUCCGUAGGCGGUUUAAUAAGUCAGUGGUGAAAGCCCAUCGCUCAACGAUGGAACGGCCAUUGAUACUGUUAGACUUGAAUUACUAGGAAGUAACUAGAAUAUGUAGUGUAGCGGUGAAAUGCUUAGAUAUUACAUGGAAUACCAAUUGCGAAGGCAGGUUACUACUAGUGGAUUGACGCUGAUGGACGAAAGCGUGGGGAGCGAACAGGAUUAGAUACCCUGGUAGUCCACGCCGUAAACGAUGGAUACUAGCUGUUGGGCGCAAGUUCAGUGGCUAAGCGAAAGUGAUAAGUAUCCCACCUGGGGAGUACGUUCGCAAGAAUGAAACUUAAAUGAAUUGACCGGNUGAGAGAGACGACGACGACGACGAGGGAGGAGG
rnacentral:rRNA from 1 species